GUCUUUGUGGUGUAAUGGUCAGCACGUUCGGCGCGUAUUCGAGAGGUUCGUGGUUCGAAUCCCAGCGAGGGCA
rnacentral:tRNA from 1 species